rnacentral:rRNA from 1 species
GCCAACGGUAAACGCUGGGUAGCCAUGUGCGGAGUGGAUAACCGCUGAAAGCAUCUAAGUGGGAAGCCCACCUCAAGAUGAGUAUUCCCAUGGGGUAACCCAGUAAGGUCACGGGAAGAACACCCGUUGAUAGGCUCUACGUCGAAGUCCAGUAAUGGAUGCAGCGGAGGAGUACUAAUAGACCGAGGGCUUGACCAA